CCUACGGGAGGCAGCAGUGAGGAAUAUUGGUCAAUGGACGAGAGUCUGAACCAGCCAAGUAGCGUGAAGGAUGACUGCCCUAUGGGUUGUAAACUUCUUUUAUAUGGGAACAAAACGGUCCACGUGUGGGAUUUCGUAUGUACCAUAUGAAUAAGGAUCGGCUAACUCCGGGCCAGCCGCCGCGGUUAUUCGGAGGAUCCGUGGUUUUAUCGGAUUUAUUGGGUUUAAAGGGGGCGUAGGUGGGUUGUUAAGUUAGGUGUUAAAGUUUGCGGCUCAACCGUAAAAUUGCAGUUGAAACUGGCAGUCUUGAGUACGGUAGAGGUGUGCGGAAUUCGUGGUGUAGCGGUGAAAUGCUUAGAUAUCACGAAGAACUCCGAUUGCGAAGGCAGUUCACUGGACUGCAACUGACACUGAGGCUCGAAAGUGUGGGUAUCAAACAGGAUUAGAUACCCGUGUAGUC
rnacentral:rRNA from 1 species